rnacentral:lncRNA from 1 species
GGGGGGAAGGAUUUUUCAAGCUUCUGCAAGGUUACCAGUUCGGUUUUUUUUUGGAGGUUUUUGAAGAUCAAGGGAAUUAGAGAGAGGAGCUUCAUGCUUCGGGUCGGGGAAGGAAAGACAUAGAAUUUGGAUUUUUCUUCUUCGUAGAGUUUUGGGGAAGACUGAGGCAAUCGCUGCUGAAGUCAGUGUUGUAAUGGUGAAUCGGGAUUUUUAAAUGAAGUGGGUUUGAAUACUCUUGACUGUUUUGUGAAAUCGAGUUACGUCUGUGAUUGAAGGAUUAAAAGGGUGUCUAUAGGAUUGAGUAUGCGGAGUGAAUGAAAUUUAUUGGGUUAGUCUAACAAGACAGUCAGUGGAUACAAGAUCGUAAGUACAAAGCUGUAUUGAAGGUUAACAAUUUGGGUUGUACGGGGUUCUCUGUAACGUCUAGAGACCUAUCGGCUGGGGCAAAAAGGACUUCGACAAGUAGUCGAAGAGCACCCGUAUAGAUUUACGGUACAUUGUUGCAGUCGUUUAUAUUCCAGCAGUCAAAAACUGAUAGACUGCUUGACUAUCGGCGAAUCUCCAUACUACCUUCUACAGCCAGACGCCCGACGCGUUCUCAAGCAGGAAAGCACGUAAUACGACAUAAGUGGUGAACCCGACGUGAAAGCUUGAGGUAGAAGGUAUAGGAUUUCGGUUGAUUUUAUCUUUAUUUUUAUGGAAAACGAAAAUAAAAAUUUUGAAGGAUUUUUGGGAGGAGUUUCUGGUGCGGAGUCUUCUAAAGGACAAGGUAUGCACAUGGAUCCGUCUAUUGCUAGUUUGUUUCAAGCCUUCUCAUUGUCAAUGCAGCAACAGCAAAACAAUGAUCGAAAGGAAGCUUUGGCAACCAAAGCAUUGCAAGCAGUGGUCAAUAAAAUUGAUCAAUUUGAUGGGAGGAAUAUUUCAAGGUAUUUAAGAUGUUAUGUUCGUGAAAUAGAAUUAAAUCGGAUUUCUGAGAAGAAAAUGGUUGCACUAUUUGGACUUGCCACGAUACCGGAGAUAAGGGACCACAUUACAUCGAUUAUGGAUCGUUGUGGGAAUUCAUGGGAGGAUUUUUCACAUGCAUUGAAAGACGAAUAUUUCUUGAAAGAUGCUGAUCACAUUACUAAGAAGCUGUUUCUGGGAUGGAUUGAACGGCCCAAUAAGAAUUUGCAAGCAACAGAGCUACUAAGGGAAUUUGAGAGGCAGUACUCUUAAUUAUCGAAGGUAGAAAAAUUGACAUUGGAGCCGAACAAAGUUGAUCUAUUUCUUCAAGCUGCUGAUGGAGAAUUGCAAGAAAAAUUAGAACCCCUUCUUGAAGACAAAGAAGAAGAUGAAGGAUUGACAACGAAGUGGAAGAACAUUGAAGAUGCGGUGGGAUUGCUUACAAAAAAAGAAAGGAGGAAGGAUAGGAGUAAUAUUCCGAAACCAGUACAAGCACCCAAAGCUCCAGUACGUACUACACCACCGACAAUGCCUACAGUUCAACCUUCGACAUCCUUGUCAAAGAAAGCAGAUAUGGGGAUGGAAGAAAUUAUACGAGGAAUGCGAGAUCUUCAAAUCAAAUUAGCAAGACUUGAAGAGAAUACUUCUAUAAACAAUUCGAAGAAUGUUUUAAAACAAGGAUAUGUACAAAGAUGCAUUUGGUGUGAUGACGCUUCACACACAAGAAAAGAUUGCAAUGAAUUUAAUAAUAUGAUAUGACAGGGAAUUAUUUGCUGGAAAGAUGGGAAGAUAGCAUUGAAAGAUAGGGAGGAUCUUCUUCAAACCAAUUUUGGCAAGGGAGGAAUGAGAGCAUUGGUUCAAGAUUACUUAAAAGGGCAUGAAAUAGUAGCACGAGAAAGUGCAAGUUAUGGUGCUAGAGUAGAUGAUGAAAUUGGUGGAAGUACGGAAACUAGUGAGUUUUGGGCUUCUGCCGUUUCUACAAUGCAAGAAGGGAAAUUACCUCGAGAAGCGUUAUUGAGAACUGCAGCUACAAUACGAAGAAGAACAGGUUGGGUAAAUCCCGUUGAGUCUCUUUCAGUUCAUGCAUAUAUUGCUAAGAGCCAACAUGAAGCUUUGAUGGAAGAAAAAAGACGAGGAAAUUUUGAUGAUACUAGAGAAGGAAAUUCUUUUAAGAGGCAAACUCGAGGAAACAAGGCUCGGGAGGCAGCUUCACAAGAAUUGCCUGUAAAGGAUACCUCAGCAUCAUUGGAAAAAAAAACAACGGAGACAAAAGAUAAAGGCAAAUCAAUUGCUUAUAAGCUACUUUCUGACAUUGAAGCGGCAACAAAUUUGAAAGGGGUGUUGGAAGAACGUAUAUUAAACGCUAAGGUGGAAUUCACAUUGAAAGAAGUCUUGGGAAUUGCAAAGAAGGAGUUUCAUGAUGUUAUCAUUGACAGCAUUAAGCGAAAGAGGCAAUUAAUGAGCGAAACUGGAAUGAGUCAUGCUAUUGAUGCAAGAAUAUAUAAAGAUGAAGAAGAGGUUGAUAUUGGUUACAAGCAACCAACAAAUGAAAAGAAUAGGUAUAAUCAGCGAGUACGUUUCGAAGAUUCUAGUGACAAGGAAAUGGAAACUUUGAGCCAUUAUACUCGAAAGCAUUGGGCAAGGGCAACUACUGAGGUAUUGGUGAGGGUAGGAGAUAUAGAGGAACCAAUAGUUGCUUUGGUGGACCAUGGUUCUGAAAUAAAUCUCAUAUCUAAAGAUCUUUAUAAGAAGCAAAAAUGGCCAAUUGAUAUGGAACAUAGAUGGGCAAUACGAGCAGCUAAUAACACACGAGGCGAAUUAUAUGGAGCUUGUCCAGAUGUCAAAAUUCGGAUUGGGGAUGUUGCGACGGAGCAACAUUUCUUCGUUCAAGAUACAACGUCUUAUCCGUUGAUUUUAGGACAACCUUCUAUCACGGCAACACGGAUGCAAACAAAGGUACUUGACGAUGGUUCUGCUUAUGCAAGGGUACGGAGCGAAGAUGGGAGGAAAGCUGUACAAUUUCUUACAGUACCUCCUAACCAUGAAUGGAAUCGAGAUAGGUUGAGGGAGAAACCAUUGCCAAAGAUUGUUGAAGGAUUUAAGGAUUUUGGGGAGGUACCACUGUAAAGCGAGAUUAUGGAGGUACAAAAGAGGAGGUACUCUCGCAAGAUGAAGGUGCCUUUGAUGCGAGUUUUAUUGGUAUAUUGGAGAAUGGAAAUAUUAUGUAUAAGAAAGUUAAUGAUUUUAAAAGAAAAGAAAGAAAAAGAUUAUAUGAUAUUGAAGGACAGUUACGCAAGAUAGGUACAUUGCAAGAUGAUGAGAGGAUUUUGGGUGUUUAUGAAGAAAAUGGGCUGGAAGAUUCAUUGGAAUUGAUUACAUCUAUUGAGUUAGGGGAUAAUGAUAAGAUUGUUGAGAUUCAUUCGAGAGAGGUUUAUACCAUGCUUGAGUCUUUUCAAGCACCAGAAGUCACAGUAGAGACGAGAUAUAAAACGGCAGAUAAGAAGGUAAAGCUUGUUGCCGGACCAUUACCAGAGGAUUUUAAAGAACAAAUGGGAGAAGCAUCAAGAGAAGCAAGUUUAAGAGAUCCAAUGAGUAUUGGACAUCAGUUUACUAAAGAGACUUUUGAAGAAUUGAAGAUUGGUUCUGAUGGAUCUUUAUUGCCGGAGGAAAUUACUUGCUUCAAAAAGAUGUUGGCUAAACAAGGUAGAUCGUUUGCCUUCGAAUCUCAUGAAAUUGGGUGUGUGGAUCCAAAUAUUAUAACACCUAUGGUUAUCUUCACUGUACCGCAUGUACCUUGGAAUCUAAGACCGAUUCCAGUACCGAGGGCACAUUUACCUAAAUUGGUCGAACUAUUGAAAGAAAAGAUAAAGAUGAAAAUAUUAGAACCUUCAUUUGCGCCGUAUUCUAGUCGAUGGUUUACGGUACCUUAGAAGAAUGGGUCACUACGGUUUAUUCAAGAUAUGCAGCCGGUGAAUGCUUUAACUGUCAGGAAUGCAGGAAUUGGACCUAUUGUGGAUGAAUUUGCUGAGGCGUUUGCUGGAAGGGCGAUCUACUCAAUGGGUGAUUUGUAUUCAGAUUAUGAUCAAUUUCAACUUGCUGAAGGAAGUAGAGAUAUGACAACAAUGAGGACACCGCUUGGAUUGGUUAGAAUGUGCACUCUUCCUCAAGGCGCGACCAACUCAGUUGCGCAUAUGAUGAAUGGGAUGAAUAAGGUAUUGAGAGAUUUUAUCCCGGAAAAGACUAUGCCUUUUCUGGAUGAUGUUCCUAUAAAAGGGUGCAGAGAAGGAGACAAGGAUGAAACUUUAGAUACGAGGGGGUGUCGCAAAUAUGUUGUUGAUCAUAUACAAGAUUGUGAAAAGAUUUUAACUCGGCUUGGAGAAGUUCAUCUUACAUUAUCGGGUAUGAAGUCCGUAUUUGGAGUGCGAGAGGUUGUAAUUGUUGGACAUUUAUGCGGAUCUUACGGAAGAAAACCAGAUCCGACUAAAGUUGAUGCAAUUGGAAGGAUGAAAGAGGAUUGUGGUUCUUUAAUAGACGUUCGCAGGUUUUUAGGUGCAUGUGUAUUUUAUCGAAUCUGGAUCCCUCAUUUUGCUCACAUAGCGGAUCCAUUAUAUGAACUGUUACGCAAAGGUUACCGAUUUGAAUGGAAAGGAAGGCAUAUUCAGGCAAUGCAAAGAUUGAAGAAAUUAUUGAUGUCACCUCCAAUAUUGAGGAAGGUUGAUUAUAAGUGCAAUAGACCAGUGAUUCUUACUGUAGACGCUAGUCCAAUUGCCGUUGGAUGGGCGGUGGGUCAAGAUGAUUCGAAUGGGAGUAGAUUUGCAGUUCGAUUUGGGGCUCAAGUUUUAAAUAUUCGUCAGCGUGCAUAUUCGCAAGUCAAAAGAGAACUUUGGGGAGUCGUUUCGGCUAUGAAAGCUGAAAAGGACUAUUUGAUUGGGGCAGUAGUAGUAAUUGAAACAGAUUGCUUGCCAUUGCUUGGAAUGAUUACUAACUGUUCAACGCCAGAUAUUGCAAUGUUGAGAUGGAUUGCUUAUAUUAAGUCACUAAAUCUGAAAUUUAAGCAUGUUACUGGGAAGGACAAUUUAGUAGCAGACAUGCUAUCUCGAGCAAGAUACGAGAGGGAGGACGAAAUGGUUGAAGACAUUGAUGACGUCGGAUUGAAAUUCUAUUCAAUAUCAAAUCUCAACUGAGAAGACAAGCUAUUUCUUGAAGAAUCUUAUGAAGGAGAAUUAUUGGAUAUUGGUCAUUACUUGAAUAUCUUAACUAAGCAGGGGAAUUGGUCUACAGAAAAAUUCAAACAAAUAAGAAAAAAAGCAUAUUGAUUUUUACUUCGAGAUGGAUUCUUAUGGAAGAGACCGAAGAAAGGAAUUGGGAUGCCACGACGAGUGAUAGGCAAAAGGGAAGAAAAACUAAAAUUAUUAAAGGAGUUUCAUGAUAGUUUAUGGGCAGGGCAUAGAGGAAUCUGGGCUACUUUUGCUAAACUCAAAGAACGAUAUUGGUGGAAAAAUAUGUAUCGAGAUGUGUUCUCAUUUGUAGAGUCAUGUGAAAUCUGUCAAUCGUAUUCUAAUAUCCGACAUCGAGAUGGUCUUCAUCCUACGUAUCCUCUGGCUAUUCAUUUUAAAUGGGUUGUUGAUUUGGUUAUUAUGCCGGUUGGGUUAUGGCAGAUGAGAUAUUUGAUUUUAGCUCGUGAAGAUUUAUCAAAUCAAGUAGAAGGAAGCGCAUUGAGGACAAAAUCUACAGAGGAGAUUUGUAGGUUUUUGCUUGAAGAUGUCAUUUGCCGUUACGAGUGCGUAGGAAAAAUCACUGCAGAUCGUGGAGAAUUAAAUGUACAAGAAGUUCGUAAGUUCUUUGAAAGAUGUGGAGUUAAACUAUCAGUGACUACUGCUUAUAAUCCGGAAGGGAAUGGGAAAAGCAAACGCGGUCACCCGCCGAUUGUGAAAGCAUUGGUUAAAGCUUGUAAUGGGAUGGUUAAAGAGUGGCCACGGCUUUUGUCAUUUGCAUUAUGGGCUGAUCGAACAACACAUAGUUCGGUGACAAGAUAUAUGCCAGUAGAACUUAUGACAGGUCAAAAACCAAUUAUGCCGAUUGAAGAAAAGGUACUUACUUGGAAUAUGUUAUCAUGGAAAGAUGGAUUGACAAGAGAAGAACUUCUGGCUAUUAGGAUUCGACAAUUGGAGCAAAGAACGGAAGAUGUCUAGAUAGCAUUGGAAAGGUUAAAAAGAGCAAGGUUACAAAACAAGGUGCGAUUCGAUAAGCAACAUCGAUUGAGAUCAAAAGCAAUCGAGGAAGGUGACUGGGUACUUGUUUAUGACAAUAGUCUGGAUAAUCAACAUAGUACUUUGCGGAAAUUUUCAAAACGUUGGUUUGGACCAUAUGUAGUAACAACUGUUCAUGAUAAUGCGACUUACUCAUUACGGGAGUUAGAUGGUACAAAAUUGAAAAUACCAAUUACAGGGAAGCGAGUAAAAAUAUUUAAACGAAGACACGCGGAGAUGAAUAUGGAAGACCUUAAUGAAGGUACAGAGAUUCCGCAGCAAAAAGAUGAAAGUGAUAUGGAUAAUGAAGGUGACGACGACGAACUGGACAAAGACGUAGGGGAUAUAUUCUGAAUCAAAUAGCAAUUGGGUAAAUUGGUGCAUACCGGAGGAUGCAUAGGUUCAGAGGGGGUGGAUGUCGUGUUGUAACACGAUUAUACAGUGAAAAUAAAAAGAAAGGGGAAUUUUAUUAAUAUUCAGUUAUCUCGAAUAUUGGGAGCAUCGACCAACUCCAGUACAAAUACUGAGUGGUCAGGUUCAGUCACUCCGUUACAGUCAGCCGGGGCAUACUGAAAUGCUCCAUUCGAUUCUAAUAAUAGGAGUCAGCAGGAAGAGAAGGACCAAUUCACAAGACGGGUUCGAGGAGCCAAUUGGAUCCAAUUUCGAUAAUCCAAUCCGGGUCCUCUUAUUCAAUAUGAGACCUGAAUUGGCCGGUCAACCCAGUGCAGUCUAAUUACGGGAAAUCCAGGUCUUACUACGGGUCUUAGCCAAUCCGACGCAAGGACCAAUUUGACCCAAUUACGGGAACAUCCAGGUUACUACGGGCAUCUUUUCCAAUAUAGGACCUGAGUUGGUCGGGCGACUCAAUGUGGUCUCGAUUACGGGGUUCGAUUCUGUUUCAGGCUGUCCUGUUCUCUGUGCCGUCUCAGGGAACGUUGUUUUCGGUAAAUGGAUUUCUUAAAGGCAAAAACGGAGGAGAAAGCUUGACGGCGAGAGCCAAUUUCGGAUCCAAGCUUGAGGUGGGAGCCAAUUCCGGAUCUAAGACGGAAGAUUGAAGAAAUUCAGAGGAUAAGGUUAGGUGGGAUAUAGUUUGGGGGGUGGUUUUUUUUUGAGGGGAAAUCGGGGGGGAAGGAUUUUUCAAGCUUCUGCAAGGUUACCAGUUCGGUUUUUUUUUGGAGGUUUUUGAAGAUCAAGGGAAUUAGAGAGAGGAGCUUCAUGCUUUGGGUCGGGGAAGGAAAGACAUAGAAUUUGGAUUUUUCUUCUUCGUAGAGUUUUGGGAAAGACUGAGGCAAUCGCUGCUGAAGUCAGUGUUGUAAUGGUGAAUCGGGAUUUUUAAAUGAAGUGGGUUUGAAUACUCUUGACUGUUUUGUGAAAUCGAGUUACGUCUGUGAUUGAAGGAUUAAAAGGGUGUCUAUAGGAUUGAGUAUGCGGAGUGAAUGAAAUUUAUUGGGUUAAUCUAACAAGACAGUCAGUGGAUACAAGAUCGUAAGUACAAAGCAGUAUUGAAGGUUAAUAGUUUGGGUUGUACGGGGUUCUCUGUAACGUCUAGAGACCUACCGGCUAGGGCAAAAAGGACUUCGACAAGCAGUCGAAGAGCUCCCGUAUAGAUUUACGGUACAUUGUUGCAGUCGUUUAUAUUCCAGCAGUCAAAAACUGAUAGACUGCUUGACUAUCGGCAAAUCUCCAUACUACAUUCUACAGUCAGAUGCCCAGCACGUUCUCGAGCAGGAAAGCACGUAAUACGACAACGUACGGCUUCAAUUUGCAUGUCUUCUACUUCCGAAUGUACGUUUGGCAAAGAUGUUGAUGUUGCCAUUGAGUAAUAACGUUGAGGUUUCCGUGAAUGAUUCUCGGAUCAAAAUUUGAAAAGUCGAUUAUCACAUUUUACCGCAAAAUCGAUUGCUUGACUCAAAGUUUGAGGAUCAGGUAAGUUGAGCAUCAAUUUCUUUACUUCAUAUUGCAAUCCAUAAAGAAAUUGACUGAUGAGUGCAGCAUCAUCCCACUUGAUGUCAAUUGCAAGUUGUCGAUUGCAACACGAGUUGCAUCGUGUUCACCAUACAUAGAUCGAAACUCCGCCAAAAAAGCUUCCAAAUUGUCCAAUAUUGGAUUUCGUUGUUCAAGAAAAGACGAAAAUCACGAUAAUGCAGAACCAGAAAGUAGAGUGCCAAUAAACCUGACUUGUGAUCCUGGAGUUGGAUAGCUUUGCGGUUGAAGUUCAAUUGCCAAUUGUACUUGAUUGAUGAACCCUCGAAACUUUGAUCUCGUACCAUCAAAUUUCUUAGGUAAGGCAAUUCUUGGUUCUCUAGUGCUUAUAGGGUGUUGUACAAUUGGAGAAGGAACGUGAUUUGUUGUAGAUGUUGAAGCAGCUCCGAUCAUCUCUAUAUCCCCACUUUUUGCUAUUCUUGUUCUUUCCUGUGUUGGUGAAUUGAGUUGAUGCAUCGCAAGCAUUACCUCCCUCAUUUGCUCUUGCAUUUGUGCCAUUACACUCUUCAUUUCAAGAAGCUCUACCAUAAUGACACUAAGAAGAAAAAUUUGUUUGAUACUGCUUAAGACAAAAGAAAAGAAAGACUUGAUAACAAAGAAGAUACUAAGAACAAUAUCACUUUAGAAGUGGGUAAUCCGCAAACUUCUAAUACGCUUAUGCCUUGUCAAGAGAAAGGGGUAAUCCACUCUUACUCAAGAAAAACAAAGCUCUGAUAUUGUAAGUACACUCUUGUCAAUCUGUCAAGGACAAGAACUCGAUGAAAAAACAGUUCAGACAAGUAAGCCUUCACUCAAAGAAAAAUAACAAAAUAUGAAUAAUAAGUAUGUAUAUUGAAAAGAGAAACUAGAAUGGCUAUUGCCAAAAGACAAGAAAACUAGAGACCCUUGAAACUACACUAGAAGCAAGAAAGGAGUUGACAAGAGUGAAGAAGCCUUCACUCUUGUCUCUAUAUAUACUAUCUAACUAGGAGCUACGUGGCGAUAUUCUAUAGGACCUUCAAUAUGUGUUGACUUUGUAGGACACAUGCCUUGACUUACAAGGCAAGUUUUUCUACGUGUGGGCCACAUAGUUAGCUUGAUCUUUAAGCUAACAACAUGUGUGGCACAUGGCCAACUUGUUGACCACGUUUCUAAUCCAAAAAGUCAAUUAAAGACACCUAUGAAGUCAAAGCGGUAUCUAAGAAGUUUCUAGGAAGCUUCUAUUUUAAAUAUUAUAGAAUUAACUUACUUUUAUCUACUUUUACUUACUUCUAUCUAUUUCUAUAUGUAAUUAUUAGCUUACAUGAUUAUGGCCGUGACAAGUUAGGGGAUAAUGAUAAGAUUGUUGAGAUUCAUUCAAGAGAGGUUUAUACCAUACUUGAAUCUUUUCAAGCACCACAAGUCACUGUAGAGACGAGAUAUAAAAAGGUAGAUAAGAAAGUAAAGCCCGUUGCCGGACCAUUACCAGAAGAUUCUAAAGAAUAAAUGGGAGAAGCAUCAAAAGAAGCAAGUUUAAGAGAUCCAAUGAGUAUUGGACAUCAGUUUACUAAAGAGACUUUUGAAGAAUUGAAGAUUGAUUUUGAUGGUUCUUGAUUGCCGGAGGAAAUUACUUGCUUCAAAAAGAUGUUGGCUAAACAAGGUAGAUCGUUUGCUUUCGAAUCUCAUGAAAUUGGGUGUGUGGAUCCAAAUAUUAUAACACCUAUGGUUAUCUUCACUGUACCGCAUGUACCUUGGAAUCUAAGACCGAUUCCAGUACCGAAGGCAUAUUUACCUAAAUUGGUUGAGCUAUUAAAAGAAAAGAUAAAGAUGAAAAUAUUAGAACCCUCGUUUGCGCCGUAUUCUAGUCGAUGGUUUACGGUACCUAAAAAGAAUGGGUCACUACGAUUUAUUCAAGAUAUGCAACCGAUGAAUGCAGUAACUGUCAAGAAUGCAGGAAUUGGACCUAUUGUGGAUGAAUUUGCUGAGGUGUUUGUUGGAAGGGCGAUCUAUUCAAUGGAUGACUUGUACUCAGAUUAUGAUCAAUUUCAACUUGCCGAAGGAAGUAGAGAUAUGAUAACAAUGAGGACACCACUUGGAUUGGUUAGAAUGUACACUCUUCCUCAAGGCGCGACCAACUCAGUUGCGCAUAUGAUGAAUGGGAUGAAUAAGGUAUUGAGAGAUUUUAUUCUGGAAAAGACUAUGCCUUUUCUGGAUGAUGUUCCUAUAAAAGGGUGCAGAGAAGGAGACAAGGAUGAAACUUUAGAUACGAGGGGGUGUCGCAAAUAUGUUGUUGAUCAUAUACAAGAUUGUGAAAAGAUUUUAACUCGGCUUGGAGAAGUUCAUCUUACAUUAUCGGGUAUGAAGUCCGAAUUUGGAGUACGAGAGGUUGUAAUUGUUGGACAUUUAUGUGGAUCUUAUGGAAGAAAACUAGAUCCGACUAAAGUUGAUGCAAUUAGAAGGAUGAAAGAGGAUUAUGAUUCUUUAACAGAGGUUCGCAGGUUUUUAGGUGCAUGUGUAUUUUAUCGAAUCUGGAUCCCUCAUUAUGCUCACAUAACAGAUCCAUUGUAUGAACUAUUAUGCAAGGAUUACCGAUUUAAAUGGAAAGAAAGGCAUAUUCAGGCAAUGCAAAGAUUGAAGAAAUUAUUGAUGUCACCUCCAAUAUUGAGGAAGGUUGAUUAUAAGUGCAAUAGACCAGUGAUUCUUAUUGUGGACGCUAGUCCAAUUGCCAUUGGAUGGGCUGUGGGUCAAGAUGAUUCAAAUGGGAAUAGAUUUGCAGUUCGAUUUGGGGCUAAAGUUUUAAAUAUUCGUCAGCGUACAUAUUUGCAAGUCAAAAGAGAACUUUGGGGAGUCGUUUCGACUAUGAAAGCUGAAAAGGACUAUUUGAUUGGGGCAGUAGUAGUAAUUGAAACAGAUUGCUUGCCAUUGCUUGGAAUGAUUACUAACUGUUCAACGCCAGAUAUUGCAAUGUUGAGAUGGAUUGCUUAUAUUAAGUCACUAAAUCUGAAAUUUAAGCAUGUUACUGGGAAGGACAAUUUAGUAGCAGACAUGCUAUCCCGAGCAAGAUACGAGAGGGAGGACGAAAUGGUUGAAGACAUUGAUGACGUCGGAUUGAAAUUCUAUUCAAUAUCAAAUCUCAACUGAGAAGACAAGUUAUUUCUUGAAGAAUCUUAUGAAGGAGAAUUAUUGGAUAUUGGUCAUUACUUGAAUAUCUUAACUAAGCAGGGGAAUUGGUCUACAGAAAAAUUCAAACAAAUAAGAAAAAAAGCAUAUUGAUUUUUACUUCGAGAUGGAUUCUUAUGGAAGAGACCGAAGAAAGGAAUUGGGAUGCCACGACGAGUGAUAGGCAAAAGGGAAGAAAAACUAAAAUUAUUAAAGGAGUUUCAUGAUAGUUUAUGGGCAGGGCAUAGAGGAAUCUGGGCUACUUUUGCUAAACUCAAAGAACGAUAUUGGUGGAAAAAUAUGUAUCGAGAUGUGUUCUCAUUUGUAGAGUCAUGUGAAAUCUGUCAAUCGUAUUCUAAUAUCCGACAUCGAGAUGGUCUUCAUCCUACAUAUUCUCUGGCUAUUCAUUUUAAAUGGGUUGUUGAUUUGGUUAUUAUGCCGGUUGGGUUAUGGCAGAUGAGAUAUUUGGUUUUAGCUCGUGAAGAUUUAUCAAAUCAAGUAGAAGGAAGAGCAUUGAGGACAAAAUCUACAGAGGGAAUUUGUAGGUUUUUGCUUGAAGAUGUCAUUUGCCACUACAGAUGCGUAGGAAAAAUCACUGCAGAUCGUAAAGAAUUAAAUGCUCAAGAAGCUCGUAAGUUUUUUUUGAAAGAUGUGGAGUUAAACUAUCAGUGACUACUGCUUAUAAUCCGGAAGGGAAUGCAAAAAGCGAACGUGGUCACCCACCGAUUGUGAAAGCAUUAGUUAAAGCUUGUAAUGGAAAAGUUAAAGAGUGGCUAUGGCUUUUGUCAUUUGCAUUAUGGGCUGAUCGAACAACACAUAGUUCAGUGACAGGAUAUAUGCUAGUAGAACUUAUGACAGGUCGAGAACCAAUUAUGCCGAUUGAAGAAAAGGUACUUACUUGGAAUAUGUUAUCAUGGAAAGAUGGAUUGACAAGAGAAGAACUUCUGGCUAUUAGGAUUCGACAAUUGGAGCAAAGAACGGAAGAUGUCCAGAUAGCAUUGGGAAGGUUAAAAAGAGCAAGGUUAUAAAACAAGGCGCGAUUCGAUAAGCAACAUCGAUUGAGACCUAAAGCAAUCGAAGAAGGUGACUGGGUACUUGUUUAUGACAAUAGUCUGGAUAAUCAACAUAGUACUUUGCGGAAAUUUUCAAAACAUUGAUUUAGACCAUAUGUAGUAACAACUGUUCAUGAUAAUGCGACUUACUCGUUACGGGAGUUAGAUGGUACAAAAUUGAAAAUACCAAUUACAGGGAAGCCAGUAAAAAUAUUUAAACGAAGACAUGCAAAGAUGAAUAUGGAAGACCUUAAUGAAGGUAUAGAGAUUCCGCAGCAAGAGAUUGAAAGCGAUUUGGAUAAUGAAGGUGACGAAGACGAACAGGAUAAAUACGUAGAGGAUGUUUUCUAAAUCAAAUAGCAAUUGGAUAAAUUGGUGCAUACCAGAGGAUGCACAGGUUCAGAGGGGGUGGAUGUCGUGUUGUAAUACGAAUAUACCAUGAAAAUAUAAAGAAAUGGGACUUUUAUUAAUGUUCAGUUACCUCGAAUAUUGGGAGCAACGACCAAGUCCAGUGCAAAUACUGAGUGGCCAAGUUCAGUCACUCCGUUACAAUCAGCUGGGGCAUACUAAAAUGCUCUGUUCGAUUCCAAUAACGGGAGUCAGCAGGAAGAGAAAGGACCAAUUCACACGACGGGUGAGCCUAGUUCGAAGAGCCAAUUGGAUCCAAUUUCAAGAAUCCAAUCCGGGUCCUCUUACCAUAUAUGAGACCUGAAUUGGCCGAGCAACCCAAUACAGUCUAAUUACGGGAAAAUCCAGGUUUUACUACGGGCCUCAGCCAAUCUGACGUGAAGGACCAAUUUGAUCCAAUUACGGGGACAUCCGGGUCUUACUACUGGACUCUUAGCCAAUAUGAGACCUGAAUUGGUCGGGCGACUCAAUGUGGUCCCGAUUACGGGGUUUGGAUUCUAUUUCAGGUUGUCCUGUUCUCUAUGCCGUUUCAAAGAACGUUGUUUUUGGUACAAAGAUCUCUUAAAGGUAAAAACGGGGGAGAAAGCUCUGACGGCGAGAGCCAAUUUUGGAUCCAAGCUCUGACGGUGGGAGCCCAUUCCGGAUCCAAGACGGAAGAUUGAAGAAAUUCAGAGGAUAAAGUUAGGGGAGAGAAUAAGUUUUUUGGGGAGGUUUUUGAAGAUGGGAUGUUUUUGGAUCGAAGAGCUAGCUUCAAGCUCUUUUCAAGGUCACUAGUUUGGUUUUAUUAGGGUUUGUGUGGAGAGAGCUAGCUUCAUGCUUCGGGCGGGGAAAAAAGACAGAGAAUUGGAUUUUUUUUUUUUCUUCAUAGGGUUUGGGAAGACUGAGGCAAUCGCUCUUGAAGUCAGUGUUGUAAUGGUGAAUCGGGAUUUUUA